AAUUAAAUGUACAGCAUCCCUGGCAUAGUCUACGUGACUCAUACAGUGGGAGAUUUUAAGAUUUCCUCAGAGGAAUAUCUGACCUAUCUGAAUCCAGGGCUUUAAAUCAAGAAACUUAACAGAGCCUAACCCCAUUUGGGGAACUUUCUCUGGAGCCCUAGCUGAGACCUGCACACACACCCACACCCUGCCCUGGGAAACAACUACCUGCAAGCGCCACUCUUCUAUCUACUGAGCCCCUUCUCUGUGGCCGCGGGUGUAGGGGGAGGAGGAGGGGUGGCUAGACAUUUGUUAAUUAACAGGCAUUCUAGAUUAUUCUUUUUUUUAAAAUUUAUUUUGGCUGCAUUGGGUCUUCGUUGCUGCGUGUAGGCUUCUCAUUGUGGUGGCUUCUUGUUGCAGGGCACGGGCUGUAGAGCGCAGGCUCAGCAGUUGUGGCGCACGGGCCCAGCCAUUCCGCGGCAUGUGGGAUCUUCCCGGACCAGGGCUCGAACCUGUGUCCCCUGCAUUGGCAGGCGGAUUCUUAACCACCAGGGAAGCCCUAGGUUAUUCUUAGUUUUGGAAACAGAGCUCUAAGGCUGGUUCUUAAACUUUAGUGAACUGCUUGAAGGUUCCAGAUUGCUAGAUUUCUCAGUGGAUCUGGGGAGGUGCCCCUAAACCUGUUUUUAACAAGUUCCCUGGUGACACAAAUGUUGCUGGUCAGGAGACCAGCUUGGGAACCACUGCUCUAAGGCGUUCCUCAAACCAUAGUGAACGUGUCACCUGGAGUCUUGGUUAACUACAGAUGCAGAUUCAGGUCUGUCCCCAAAUUGUGCAUUUCUUGCAAGAACCUCGGAGAUGGCAAUGCUGUUGGUCCAUGGACCACUCCUGAGGCUCCCAAAUACAGUUUCUGAUGCCUAUUAAAGGAACGGGAAAGGUUGGACUACCUUUGCUCACCCUUCUAAAUCUGAACAAAAAUAUGCCCUUCUCCAUGUAAAGAACGAAAAGGCACUGUCACUUCCAACUGUCAUCUUGUUUGGGGGCACCCAAGAAAAACUUCCCACCUACUGAACUGAGGCAAUGAGGUGGUGGUAGUGGGGUAGUGUGUACUGAAGUAGUGACGUCAAUCCCAAUCGUAAACAUUGCUUUCUGUUUUCUAACAGACUCCUCAGGCCAAGCACGAAGAUGCCCCGAGGUCCAGUUCGGUUCACUUAGUGUAUCUCUGCUGGCAUUCGGGUGAGGAUGGAGGGUGAAGCAGUGAUUUCAAAACAGUAAAAGCCGGCUUCUCCCCAGACUGUGGUAUCAGAGGGCUAUCAGAGAGCAGCAGGUAAGAGAAAUCUCAACCACUGAGUUUGAAGGAGACAAUCCGUACCACUAGUACAGCUCUUCCAACCAGCAGACUCUCAUCCACCUGAUCAGCCGAGGAGCACACAACAGAAAACCUAAGAAUCAUGCCAAGGACAAGACCAGUGAGGGUUAGCAGCGCUGCAGACCUCGACAGACGCAGGGGCCCUGGGAGAACGUGGCUUUCUCCAAAGGGCUGCCCCCACUCCUUUGGGAAACUACAAACCCUUCCGGUCUGUCCUGCUCCCUGGUGACGCAGAGGCGGGGGCAGCAGGCACUACACAGCUGGUCUACAGCAGAGGCUCGCUCUGCUUCAGCAGAGGCUUACUUGCCUAAGUGCUUGCGUCGUGACAGCAGCCCGUCCGCUGGGCUGGCCUUGGCUGCGUCUCCUUGGAAGACAGUGCGGAUGGCAGACAUGAGGCUCGGCCUGACCCAGUCCUUCAGGCCCUGGCUAAAACUCAGACAUUCCUACCCCUGCAUCUCAUCCCCAGUCUGAAUGGCGGUAUUUAGGGAAAAACUGCCCCAGGGCCGGCGGACAGGCCCGCAGGAGUUACAUCUUCUAGUACUGACGAGUGCAUGGGAUUCCAGCCACAAUUUCCGAUUCGAUUCCACAGUGAUCCUCUCCUCUGAGGAUUUUAAAGAAGCCUAGAGAGCAGAAGACGCCUUUAGAGAGUGCUUGGCUUUUGCCGACAUAUCCAGACCCACCCCUGAAAAACGGGGAAACGGAAGUCACAAACCAGCCCCAAAGCUGUCACCAGCCGGCCCACAAGGUGCUCUGCCGGCUUCCGUUCAGCCCGUAUCCGGCCCCUGCACCUGGUGCCGUGGGGACCCAGGCCCAGCACACACCCUCCCGGGAUCAGAGGCUGCCCUCGUGGAAGCCCCGGCUCCCCAGCACCUGCGCAGCUGGCAGAGCAGGACAGGACGCCCGCUGUGCCCUGCUCUCAGCAGGAAGGGGCUGCACUCACCAUUGUCACCCCAGUCGGUGUUCCAGGAGUUGCCGACCAGCCAGUAGGGGGUGCCGUUCUCCACUCCCCAGCCCAGGAUGCGGAUGGCGUGGCCUCCCAUCAUCUCUCCUGUGACGUGCUGGUACACCCCUGGGAAAGGAGACAGCGGUCAGGCCGGGCAGCCGCCCCAUCGGCCACAGCACCCCUCCAGCUCACUGGUCACCCCGGGCAGGACGGACGGGGCCGGAGGAAAGGACCAGCCCUGGCGUUCCACAAGAAGGCUCCAGGGGUUCCCACAACAUUUUGGAAUUACUUAUUUUGAAAGCCUAACACACUAUAGGAGGUAAAUAUUAAGAUGGAGGCCAAUCAAAUGUGUUCGUUGGUUCUCUUUAAAAUUGUAAAUUCUAAUAAAAAUACCAACAGUUAACUGUG